GUGGGGAAUAUUGGACAAUGGGCGAAAGCCUGAUCCAGCAAUGCCGCGUGAGUGAUGAAGGCCUUAGGGUUGUAAAGCUCUUUUACCCGGGAUGAUAAUGACAGUACCGGGAGAAUAAGCUCCGGCUAACUCCGUGCCAGCAGCCGCGGUAAUACGGAGGGAGCUAGCGUUGUUCGGAAUUACUGGGCGUAAAGCGCACGUAGGCGGCUAUUCAAGUCAGGGGUGAAAUCCCGGGGCUCAACCUCGGAACUGCCUUUGAAACUGGAUGGCUAGAAUCCUGGAGAGGCGAGUGGAAUUCCGAGUGUAGAGGUGAAAUUCGUAGAUAUUCGGAAGAACACCAGUGGCGAAGGCGACUCGCUGGACAGGUAUUGACGCUGAGGUGCGAAAGCGUGGGGAGCAAACAGGAUUAGAAACCCCGGUAGUCC
rnacentral:rRNA from 1 species